rnacentral:sRNA from 1 species
UGCUUCCCGUGUCUCUGACUCGCAGGUGGCCGUGUCAUCAACACCAACUGCUCGGCGGUGCGCACCCGUCAGGCCCUCUGCUGCAAGAUGUCCGUGGAGUACGACAAGUUCAUUGAGUCCGGGCGCAAGUACGCGGCGCUGACCCGACCCGCAGAGAGCCCAGAGCCAAGCUGGGUGGGGGCCUCCUGUCCAGCCGUGCCAGGCCCUCGUGCCCAGGACUCCCCUCGCCCACAGGUGGUUCUGCCACGUGGAUGACGACAAUUAUGUGAACCCCAGGAGCCUCCUGCAUCUGCUCUCCAGCUUCUCACCCAGCCAGGACGUCUACCUGGGGCGGCCCAGCCUGGACCACCCCAUCGAGGCCACCGAGAGGGUCCAGGGUGGCAGAACUGUGAGUGUCGGAGCAGACUCCUUCCUUCACACCAGCCCGGGAGGCACAGCAGAGAGCAUGGAAAGCUGUCUUGAGAAGGGCAUAGGGUUGGGAGCCCAAGCUGAUCUACCCAGGUGGUUUGCAUGUGGUGUUUCAGGAGCAGGCCAGGAGGCCCUCACCUUACUGGGCAGAGAGGGGGUGUCUGGGCCAGGUGAGGAGGGUCUGGAGGCCACGGGUCAAUGGCCUGCAGAAACCCCCGGCCCUUCUUGCCCCAGGAAGCUUCUGUUACCUGGGUGGGAUCUCCUAAGGGGCAGCUUAAUAAAGAUGCCUGGGGAAUCCCAUGAAGAGUCAGGGCUGAGAAGCCUUGUCCCGGGCAGCUCUGACUGGCACCCCAUCUUCAGGUGACUACGGUGAAGUUCUGGUUUGCUACUGGUGGGGCCGGUUUCUGCCUCAGCAGAGGCCUUGCUCUCAAGAUGAGCCCAUGGGCCAGGUGAGUGGGGGUCCAGCUGCCUGGGCUGGGAGGCGGAGGCUGAGACCUGAAAGGUGCUGACCGGCCUCCCCCCAGCCUGGGCAGCUUCAUGAGCACAGCUGAGCAGGUGCGGCUGCCGGAUGACUGCACAGUGGGCUACAUCGUGGAGGGACUCCUGGGCGCCCGCCUGCUGCACAGCGCCCUCUUCCACUCUCACCUGGAGAACCUGCAGAGGCUGCCGCCGGACACCCUGCUCCAGCAGGUACAGGCGCCACUCCGGGUGCCUCUGCCACAUGGGCUUUGCCCCACCCUGACUACCCCAGGGGCCCCACUGCCCCGGCCCGAUGUCCGGCUGAGCAGGCAGGUGGGAUUUGCAUGUGGCUGGGGGUGGACCCUGGACAGGCCCCUUGGCCUGCUGGACACAGGGUCCUCAGGUACAGAUGGGGUAUGGUGUCUGGGGCAGAGGAACGAGGGGAGGAGCACAGUUCUCGGGCCAGGGAGGCCCCAUGCCAGCUGGGCAGUGGGUGUGGUCUGUAUGGUGAUGGUGAGUCGGAGCAGGUCCCAUCACAUGGAGCAGGGAGGGAAUGAGGGUCAGCUUUGCUCUGGAGGUUUCAGAUCCCUACUUUCUGUCCCCCAGGCUCCACCUGAGGUGUCCCCCUGCUCAGCUCAUGCCACGCUUCAAUGCUGUUCCCAAGCUUGGCCUCCCCAAGGACUUGGGGAGAAGGGGGUGGGCAAGGGGGCUCUAGCAGGGCUCCUGGCCAGGGGGAGGCAUGGCCCGAGACCAGACCAGGCCACACACUCUGCCCACACCGUCCUCUCCCAGGUUACCUUGAGCUAUGGGGGUCCUGAGAACCCACAUAACGUAGUGAACGUGGCUGGAGGCUUCAGCCUGCAUCAGGACCCCACACGGUGAGUGGGUAGUGGCAUGGGUAGGCCCUAAGCCCCACAGGGGCUCUGGCAUCAGCACGCCCACCCACAGCCCUGACCCCCACUUCUCCCUCUACUCACAGCUCUGACCCCCACUUCUCCCUCCACCCACAGCCCUGACCCCACUUCUCCCUCCACCACAGCCCUGAUCCCCAGUGCUCCCUCCUCCCACAGCCCUGACCCCCACUUCUCCCUCCACCCACAGCCCUGACCCCCACUUCUCCCUCUACCCACAGCCCUGAUCCCCACUUCUCCCUCUACCCAUAGCCCUGACCCCCACUUCUCCCUCCACCCACAGCCCUGACCCCCACUUUUUCCUUCCCCAGGUUUAAGUCUAUCCACUGCCUUCUCUACCCAGACACGGACUGGUGUCCCAGGCAGAAGCAGGGCGCCCCGACCUCUCGGUGACACCAACCACCCCUGACCCAGGGCUGCCUGGCUCUGUCCCAGGCGCGGGGAGCCAGAGCCCCCUAUGGCCUCGGUGGGCUCCCUCAGAUGCCAUGGCUACACCAGUGAGAUGCAGGCACCUGGCAGACCCUCUGGCUAACCUGCAGCCCCCCCCUCCCAGCCCCUGGUGGGCUGCGGUGAUGGGUGUUUUGGGAGAACGAAGACAGCUAGGCUGAUGGCCAGGGCCGCAGUGCCCCUCCCCCCGACCCAGCCGCAGAGUUGAUCCCAUGGGAACAGGCUUCUACCCCAGCACUUGAGCACCUGGGAGGGAGCUGCCAUCCAGGCUCCAUUACCUGUUGCUGAAGGCGGGUGCUAGGCUGAUUAGGUGCCGAAGAGCAGGCUCCAAGCCAAGGUCCUGGCCCAGCCACGGCCAUUGCAAGGGCUCAGCCUGGCAGGCUUUGUGGGGGACGCCGCCCUCUCUGCCGCAGGCCGGGUGCAUGGCCGGGCACCACAGUGGGACUCAGGCUCGGGAAGGUCAUGCUCUCGGCCAGAGCUUUGCUCCCAGUCCGGGCGCUUCAUUCGGAGGCCUCUUGACUGGGACCACAGAGAUGUUUUCUCUGCUCUGACUUGUGGCUCGGGACUACUUUCUGGGUCGUGCUCCUGCCCCACCGUGCCUGGGCCCGUAAACAACAGGAGUCUUUGUUCCGCUGACCUGCCCAUCCCACCUCCCUGCCUGGUGCCUUCCAUGGAGGGAAAUGGGACAGGGGCCGUCAUCUCCCCUCUGCCUCCUGCUUUGCUGUUGCCGAGCACGAGUAAAGUCUCUGUCCUUACUCCA